rnacentral:rRNA from 1 species
UUUUUUAAUAAUUAUUAGUAAUUUGUUAACAAAUUAUUGUUAUUUCUAGUAUUUUGAAAAAAAUUUUUUUAUUAUAGUUAAAAUGUACUGUGAAGGAAUUUUGAAAUAAUUGAAAUAUUAUUAAUAUUAUAAGAAGGAUUAAUUUUUUGUACCUUGUGUAUCAGGGUUUACUUAUUAUUUGAUAGAAAUUUAUUUUUCCCGAAUUUAGAAGAGCUAAGAAUUUAUUUAUUUUAAUGUAAAAUAAUUAUUUAUAAUAGGUUUUUUGAAAUUAAAUGUUAUUCGUUUCUUUAUAUAUCUGGUUUUUUAAGAAAAAAUUUCAAUUUUAUUAUUCUUUUUUACUUUUUUACUAAUAAUAAGUAAAAGUUGAUUAAUUUAUAUUUUGAGGGAUAAGCUUCAAUUUAUAUUUCUAUAAAUUCUAUAAUUUAAGUGAUUUGUAGGAUUAGAAAUUUUUAUCAUAAAGUUUUUUAUAAUUUUUCACUUUUUAUUUAUAAUUUUAUUGUUUUUAGAUUUUUUAUUAAAAUAAUUUACUGAAUUUUUGGUAAAUGCAAUAAUGGUAAAAUUAGUAAAAUUAUUUUUUAAUGGUUAUUUAUUAUUUUUAAUUUAUUUUAAGGAACUCGGCAAUUUUAAUUUCUGCCUGUUUAAUAAAAACAUGUCUUUUUGAUUUUAAUUUAAAGUCUGGUCUGCCCAAUGAUCAGUUUAAUGGCCGCGAUAUUUUGAUCGUGCGAAGGUAGCAUAAUCAUUAGUUUCUUAAUUAGGAGCUGGUAUGAAUGAUUGGACAAGAAAUUAUCUGUCUUAAUUUAAUUAUUUGAAUUUUAUUUUUUAGUUAAAAAGCUAAAAUUUAUUUGUGGGACGAGAAGACCCUAUAGAGUUUUAUAGUUUUAUUUAUUAUGGAAUUUUGGAAUAAUAAUUCUAUUGUUUUAUAAAAUAUUUGGUUGGGGUGACAGAAAAAUUUAUUAAACUUUUUCUUUUAAAAAUAUAAAUUUAUAGGUUUUUGAUUUAAUAUAUUAAUUAUAAGAUUAAAUUACCUUAGGGAUAACAGCGUAAUUUUUCUAAAGAGUUCAUAUCGAAAGAAAAGAUUGCGACCUCGAUGUUGGAUUAAAGUUAAAAUCUGGUGUAGAAGUUAGAUUAUUUAGUCUGUUCGACUAUUAAAACUUUACAUGAUCUGAGUUUAAACCGGUGUGAGCCAGGUUGGUUUCUAUCUUCAAUUAUUUAAAAUAUUUUAGUACGAAAGGACCAGAUAUUUUUUAUAUUAAAUAUAUAUUUGAGCAUAAUUG